GACGUGGGUGGUUCGCCG
rnacentral:siRNA from 1 species